GAAACGCGAACCAAGCAACCACCCACCGGUGGUGUAAGACUUGGAGCUGCCUCGGGCAACCGAGGCAUGUA
rnacentral:sRNA from 12 species